rfam:Streptoalloteichus hindustanus strain DSM 44523 genome assembly, contig: Ga0131095_101
GGGCCGCUAGCUCAACUGGCAGAGCAGCGGACUUUUAAUCCGCGGGUUCAGGGUUCGAGCCCCUGGCGGCCCA